CUCCCAGAAAUGUUUGUAUUAUUCUAAUCCUUACAGUUCCAGAACAAAUACAAAGUGCCCUUCUGAGACAUGUCAUCAGGAACAGAUGUUAAUGAGCCCAGACAAUCAGUGUGCCGCAGGACCAGACAACCAAUCUCUUGUAACUGUAGGGGAUGGGCUUGUUCAAGCAUGCACAGCUGCUCUCUGUUGAAACAGAGAUAAAAGGCAACCCUCAAACUGCUCUGAACCUCACACCUGUGUGGUCCAGAAGUCCACAACUUCCCUCUCUCUUCCUUCUGGUGCCCUUCCACACCAUCCUGGCAGCCCCUACAGGUGUGGUUCCAGCCAGGCUUGGUGUGGGCAACCACAGGCAGCCCGUCUGUGAAAGCACAACCGCGCUGGGCAGAGGGGAGCUCCGGCUGUCCCAGACAUUGUCUCCUGGGCGUGCACAACACUACCGUCAGCUUGCAGAACAACAGGAUUCAACCAAAUUGCUAAUUCUGCUUCUAUAGGUUCUGAGAGAAAAGUCUAAAUUUUCUGGAUCCAAACAAUAUAUUGUAA
rnacentral:lncRNA from 1 species